rnacentral:rRNA from 1 species
CAGCCGCCGCGGGAAUACGAAGGGUGCAAGCGUUACUCGGAAUUACUGGGCGUAAAGCGUGCGUAGGUGGUGGUUUAAGUCCGUUGUGAAAGCCCUGGGCUCAACCUGGGAAUUGCAAUGGAUACUGGCAAGCUAGAGUGUGUCAGAGGAUGGUGGAAUUCCCGGUGUAGCGGUGAAAUGCGUAGAGAUCGGGAGGAACAUCAGUGGCGAAGGCGGCCAUCUGGGACAACACUGACGCUGAGGCACGAAAGCGUGGGAGCAAACAGGAUUAGAUACCCGAGUAGUCCCUGUCUCUUAUACA